AGCGGCUGCUGCUCCUGACGGGCACGCGUGAUGCCCAGUCUGGAGGGUUCGCUGCAAUCAGUGCUACAGCUUUAGAAACUGUGAUUUACUGCUGAUUUAAAACUCUUUAAAGAGCCGACUUCCUGCCGAUGGGGCUGAGGGAAGAGCGGCAGGCGCAGUGCUGGCAGAGACUCCGGCAGGGCCUCGUGCGGGGGCCGGGAGCAGCGCCUUCUUUUUAGGAAACGACGCUUCAGGCUCAGGCCCGUCCAUGCUCCUCUCCCGUGUGAGUGCAGAGAAGGUCCUGGGUUCUGUCUGCUGCUUCACUCUGGGGGUCUUGGACCUGGACCUGAGAGAGCCCAGAACCCCAGUAGCAGCAGAAGGGCCGAAGCGUCACAUAGAAACUGUGGGCUGCGGUGGCUCUGGAGCUGGUCAGCGUGACUCUGCCGUUACCUCUGUCCCCUUGUGCGGCCUAGGAUUCUUCUGGAAGAAGUGGUCUGUUUGAUUCCAACAGCAGUGACAGCCCAGCUCCUGUUACAGAAGUGGAAAACCAAAUCUGCCACCAGGGACUGGCGUGUGAAUUAAACAUCCACUUGGAAACCGUAUGCCCCACAGAAAGCCAAACCCGAUCCCCACUCCUCUUGGGACAUGAGAAAGGGAGGCCGCCGGGUGAAGCUGGAGAAGGGGUGGUCUGUGGAGGUCUCCCUUUGUGGAGCAGAGACCUUUGUUGCCACCUGAGGUAUGCAGGUCAGGAAUGCUGGUCUCAGGGCCCUCAGAGGGGACUCGGGAGAGGGGCUCGAGGAAAGCCAUAUGGUGGGGGUUACCUCGAACCCAUCUCCCAUUCCCACACUCUCCUAGAAUAGCUGCCUGCCCCAGGAAGUGGGCUUUUCUGCCAACUUUUCUUAUUAGCAGAGAACAGGCCCACACAAAUGCAAAAUAAAUAAGCGGCGACUCAUUUUUGGUUGAAAUCUCAUUGAUCACAGAGCAGCCUGCAUCCAGGAGCUGCUAGGCCAGGGUUUCUGACUUUUCUGCUGAGUGGUCACAGCCUGGGGCAUCGUCUUCACCAGGCUCUGCUUUCCUGAUGAGAGUGUCAGGUGCCAGCCAUCCUGGUUAGCGGGGCUGUGCUGGGGGGUGCACACUUCUCAGGCACCAAAUACACCCAGUGAAAAUGUGCCACCCGCCUGCGCCUCCUGUGGCCUUCAUCCCUGUGCCACUCCUGCAGGGACCCACAGCCUCUGU
rnacentral:lncRNA from 1 species